rnacentral:rRNA from 1 species
GGGUUGUGAGGUUAAGCGACUAAGCGUACACGGUGGAUGCCCUGGCAGUCAGAGGCGAUGAAGGACGUGCUAAUCUGCGAUAAGCGUCGGUAAGGUGAUAUGAACCGUUAUAACCGGCGAUUUCCGAAUGGGGAAACCCAGUGUGAUUCGUCACACUAUCAUUAACUGAAUCCAUAGGUUAAUGAGGCGAACCGGGGGAACUGAAACAUCUAAGUACCCCGAGGAAAAGAAAUCAACCGAGAUUCCCCCAGUAGCGGCGAGCGAACGGGGAGCAGCCCAGAGCCUGAAUCAGUGUGUGUGUUAGUGGAAGCGUCUGGAAAGGCGCGCGAUACAGGGUGACAGCCCCGUACACAAAAAUGCACAUACUGUGAGCUCGAUGAGUAGGGCGGGACACGUGGUAUCCUGUCUGAAUAUGGGGGGACCAUCCUCCAAGGCUAAAUACUCCUGACUGACCGAUAGUGAACCAGUACCGUGAGGGAAAGGCGAAAAGAACCCCGGCGAGGGGAGUGAAAAAGAACCUGAAACCGUGUACGUACAAGCAGUGGGAGCACGCUUAGGCGUGUGACUGCGUACCUUUUGUAUAAUGGGUCAGCGACUUAUAUUCUGUAGCAAGGUUAACCGAAUAGGGGAGCCGAAGGGAAACCGAGUCUUAACUGGGCGUUAAGUUGCAGGGUAUAGACCCGAAACCCGGUGAUCUAGCCAUGGGCAGGUUGAAGGUUGGGUAACACUAACUGGAGGACCGAACCGACUAAUGUUGAAAAAUUAGCGGAUGACUUGUGGCUGGGGGUGAAAGGCCAAUCAAACCGGGAGAUAGCUGGUUCUCCCCGAAAGCUAUUUAGGUAGCGCCUCGUGAAUUCAUCUCCGGGGGUAGAGCACUGUUUCGGCAAGGGGGUCAUCCCGACUUACCAACCCGAUGCAAACUGCGAAUACCGGAGAAUGUUAUCACGGGAGACACACGGCGGGUGCUAACGUCCGUCGUGAAGAGGGAAACAACCCAGACCGCCAGCUAAGGUCCCAAAGUCAUGGUUAAGUGGGAAACGAUGUGGGAAGGCCCAGACAGCCAGGAUGUUGGCUUAGAAGCAGCCAUCAUUUAAAGAAAGCGUAAUAGCUCACUGGUCGAGUCGGCCUGCGCGGAAGAUGUAACGGGGCUAAACCAUGCACCGAAGCUGCGGCAGCGACGCUUAUGCGUUGUUGGGUAGGGGAGCGUUCUGUAAGCCUGUGAAGGUGUACUGUGAGGUAUGCUGGAGGUAUCAGAAGUGCGAAUGCUGACAUAAGUAACGAUAAAGCGGGUGAAAAGCCCGCUCGCCGGAAGACCAAGGGUUCCUGUCCAACGUUAAUCGGGGCAGGGUGAGUCGACCCCUAAGGCGAGGCCGAAAGGCGUAGUCGAUGGGAAACAGGUUAAUAUUCCUGUACUUGGUGUUACUGCGAAGGGGGGACGGAGAAGGCUAUGUUGGCCGGGCGACGGUUGUCCCGGUUUAAGCGUGUAGGCUGGUUUUCCAGGCAAAUCCGGAAAAUCAAGGCUGAGGCGUGAUGACGAGGCACUACGGUGCUGAAGCAACAAAUGCCCUGCUUCCAGGAAAAGCCUCUAAGCAUCAGGUAACAUCAAAUCGUACCCCAAACCGACACAGGUGGUCAGGUAGAGAAUACCAAGGCGCUUGAGAGAACUCGGGUGAAGGAACUAGGCAAAAUGGUGCCGUAACUUCGGGAGAAGGCACGCUGAUAUGUAGGUGAAGUCCCUCGCGGAUGGAGCUGAAAUCAGUCGAAGAUACCAGCUGGCUGCAACUGUUUAUUAAAAACACAGCACUGUGCAAACACGAAAGUGGACGUAUACGGUGUGACGCCUGCCCGGUGCCGGAAGGUUAAUUGAUGGGGUCAGCGCAAGCGAAGCUCUUGAUCGAAGCCCCGGUAAACGGCGGCCGUAACUAUAACGGUCCUAAGGUAGCGAAAUUCCUUGUCGGGUAAGUUCCGACCUGCACGAAUGGCGUAAUGAUGGCCAGGCUGUCUCCACCCGAGACUCAGUGAAAUUGAACUCGCUGUGAAGAUGCAGUGUACCCGCGGCAAGACGGAAAGACCCCGUGAACCUUUACUAUAGCUUGACACUGAACAUUGAGCCUUGAUGUGUAGGAUAGGUGGGAGGCUUUGAAGUGUGGACGCCAGUCUGCAUGGAGCCGACCUUGAAAUACCACCCUUUAAUGUUUGAUGUUCUAACGUUGACCCGUAAUCCGGGUUGCGGACAGUGUCUGGUGGGUAGUUUGACUGGGGCGGUCUCCUCCUAAAGAGUAACGGAGGAGCACGAAGGUUGGCUAAUCCUGGUCGGACAUCAGGAGGUUAGUGCAAUGGCAUAAGCCAGCUUGACUGCGAGCGUGACGGCGCGAGCAGGUGCGAAAGCAGGUCAUAGUGAUCCGGUGGUUCUGAAUGGAAGGGCCAUCGCUCAACGGAUAAAAGGUACUCCGGGGAUAACAGGCUGAUACCGCCCAAGAGUUCAUAUCGACGGCGGUGUUUGGCACCUCGAUGUCGGCUCAUCACAUCCUGGGGCUGAAGUAGGUCCCAAGGGUAUGGCUGUUCGCCAUUUAAAGUGGUACGCGAGCUGGGUUUAGAACGUCGUGAGACAGUUCGGUCCCUAUCUGCCGUGGGCGCUGGAGAACUGAGGGGGGCUGCUCCUAGUACGAGAGGACCGGAGUGGACGCAUCACUGGUGUUCGGGUUGUCAUGCCAAUGGCACUGCCCGGUAGCUAAAUGCGGAAGAGAUAAGUGCUGAAAGCAUCUAAGCACGAAACUUGCCCCGAGAUGAGUUCUCCCUGACUCCUUGAGAGUCCUGAAGGAACGUUGAAGACGACGACGUUGAUAGGCCGGGUGUGUAAGCGCAGCGAUGCGUUGAGCUAACCGGUACUAAUGAACCGUGAGGCUUAACCUUACAACGCCGAAGGUGUUU